AUUAUAUGUGUUGUCUUCAAAUAUCUAUAACUCCUUUAUCUAGACUUGAAAUUCAUCAAAAAUUAUAUGUAAAGUGUAGCUAAGAAAGUUCCCUCUUUAAUUCUAGUCACCGAUCUUUCAUUGCUCUUUGUACGCACAUGUUAUGCUUCAAAGAGUGACAGUAGGUACAAAUUUGACACCUUAACUUUGAACACUUGUAUCUCC
rnacentral:lncRNA from 1 species